UACGUAGGGGGCAAGCGUUGUCCGGAAUUAUUGGGCGUAAAGAGCGUGUAGGCGGUCCGGUAAGUCAGCUGUGAAAGUCAAGGGCUCAACCCUUGAAUGCCGGUUGAUACUGUCGGGCUAGAGUCCGGAAGAGGCGAGUGGAAUUCCCGGUGUAGCGGUGAAAUGCGCAGAUAUCGGGAGGAACACCAAUGGCGAAGGCAGCUCGCUGGGACGGUACUGACGCUGAGGCGCGCAAGCGUGGGGAGCAAACAGG
rnacentral:rRNA from 1 species